AAUCCAUAGGUUAAUGAGGCGAACCGGGGGAACUGAAACAUCUAAGUACCCCGAGGAAAAGAAAUCAACCGAGAUUCCCCCAGUAGCGGCGAGCGAACGGGGAGGAGCCCAGAGCCUGAAUCAGCAUGUGUGUUAGUGGAAGCGUCUGGAAAGGCGCGCGAUACAGGGUGACAGCCCCGUACACAAAAGCGCAUGUGCUGUGAGCUCGAUGAGUAGGGCGGGACACGUGGUAUCCUGUCUGAAUAUGGGGGGACCAUCCUCCAAGGCUAAAUACUCCUGACUGACCGAUAGUGAACCAGUACCGUGAGGGAAAGGCGAAAAGAACCCCGGCGAGGGGAGUGAAAAAGAACCUGAAACCGUGUACGUACAAGCAGUGGGAGCACCCUUUGGGGUGUGACUGCGUACCUUUUGUAUAAUGGGUCAGCGACUUAUAUUCUGUAGCAAGGUUAACCGAAUAGGGGAGCCGGAGGGAAACCGAGUCUUAAUUGGGCGUUAAGUU
rnacentral:rRNA from 1 species